AUUGAACGCUGGCGGCAGGCCUAACACAUGCAAGUCGAGCGGAUGACGGGAGCUUGCUCCUUGAUUCAGCGGCGGACGGGUGAGUAAUGCCUAGGAAUCUGCCUGGUAGUGGGGGACAACGUUUCGCAAGGAACGCUAAUACCGCAUACGUCCUACGGGAGAAAGCAGGGGACCUUCGGGCCUUGCGCUAUCAGAGGAGCCUAGGUCGGAUUAGCUAGUUGGUGGGGGAAUGGCUCACCAAGGCGACGAUCCGGAACUGGUCCGAGAGGAUGAUCAGUCACACUGGAACUGAGACACGGUCCAGACUCCUGCGGGAGGCAGCAGGGGGGAAUAUUUGACAAUGGGCGAAAGCCUGAUCCAGCCAGGCCGCGUGUGUGAAGAAGGUCUUCGGAUUGUAAAGCACUCUAAGUUGGGAGGAAGGGCAGUAAGUUAAUACCUUGCUGUUUUGACGUUACCGGCAGAAUAAGCACCGGCUAACUCUUUGCCAGCCGCCGCGGUAA
rnacentral:rRNA from 1 species